CCUGGCCUUGGGCACUGCCAGGGAUCCAGGGGCAGCCCCAGCUGCUCUGGCAAUUCCAUCCCAGCCCCUGCCCACCCUCACAGGGAACAAUUCCUCAUUUCCAAGCUCCCAUCCAGCCCUGCCCUCUGGCACUGGCAGCCAUUCCCUGUGUGCUGUCCCUGCAUGCCCUGGAAAUUGUCUCUCUCCAGCUUUCCUGGGGCUCCUGCAGGCCCUGCAAGGCCACCCUGAGCUCAGCCCAAAGCUUCUCCUGUGCAGGUGAACAAUGCCAGCUGUGCCAGCCUUUGCUGCCAGCAGAGCUGCUCCAUCCCUCUGCUCAUCCUGGAGCCUCCUCUGGGCUCUCUGCAGCAGCUCCAGCUCCUCCUGGGCUGGGACAGGCCUGGGGCAGCUCUCAGGUGGGCUCUCACCUGAGCAGGGCAGAAUUGCCAAAAAAAAUCUCUUUCAAAAACCACACAAAAUCUGAACUUGAUGCAACCUGUGAACACCACUUUGCUUUCUUGGUGUUGCAAUUCCUGAGGCCAGAGCAGAGAAUUGCAAGAAAGAGAGUAAAAAGAGGAAAAUUAACUGGUUCCAGCCUCCAAGACAAGCACGACUGUGCUCAGUAAACAUUUCAGGCAAAUAAGGGAAUGGAAGCAAACCAAAUAGUGCAGCAACAUGAGCUUUUCUUCCCUCAAGCUGGACAUCUCUGCAGGGGAACAAUAUUACCUCAUCAUCUUCUGGGUGAACCUCUCUCCUCCUCAGUGUGCAGCCUGGGCACCAGACAGAGGAACAAAAGGACAGAAUGACAAAAGACAUUUGGGCACUGGGGACAUGAAGAUCAGCUGCAGCAGCAGAGAAUUGGGAGGAACAGUUCCACUUAUGCAAAGUCAAGUGCACCAGAAGCUGCUGAACUACCUCCAACAGUGGUUCUUACAGAGCUGCAUCCCAACAAAAAUAAUAAAUUAAGAGAUGACAGUUUCAA